CUGCCUCGCGUGCGGCCUGCCUCACGCGCGGCCCAGCUCCCGCUGCGGGCUUGCCCCCGCGCCCAGCCACCUCCCCGCGGCCCACCUAGCGCACACAGCUCAUUUCCCCAAACCCUAGCACCUCAGCGCGCCUCCUACAGCAGCCGCAGCCGUGUCCAGCCGCCGGGAGCGCCCGCGCGCCAGGGCCACGCCCAGGGCAAGUCUUCUUCUCCAGACUCCAACCGUCCGAGUUCCCUUGCCCACGUCGCCCCAAAACAGGAAUUGGCACUCCCGUUGCCUCGUCCCUCGCGUCCAGCUCCGCUAGAACCACCCACAACCGCGCCUCGCCCAGCUCCGGCCACCCGCGCUGCGCAUCACCAUGCAGGGAGCCGUGCCGCGCUGCUCCUCGUCGUGCCGCGCUGCAUCCUCGUGGCUGCCUUGGCUGGGCAAGCAUGCCCCUGCAGCCCCAUCCCCGCGCUCCUCCUCAGCGCGCAGCGCGGCAGCCCCGGCCGUGUCCUGGCCUCCCUUGCCGAGUUGUGUUGUCGUUGUAGCCUUUUCAUCUUCUCUCCCUGCAAGCCUGAGCGCGCCACUGCGCUGGCCGACGAUUCGCCCAGCACCGGCGAGCACCCCAGCGGCCACGCCUCGUCUCGUUCCUCCCUGCUCCCUGCAACGCAGACCGCGUGGAGCACUGGAGCCCCCACGCGUGCGUGUUAUUCUUGCCCAGCCGGCCAUCUCUCCAAGCGCCGUGAACAGAGGAGAGAGGAAAACAACCGCUCGUGCGAGGUGUUGAGGAAGAUGGAACCAAGUGUCUCUUUGGUCUGCAAGACCUUCUGUGGCCAUGUACUGUAUAGUCCUCUGCGUGGCCCCGGCGCAACAGCAAUCUUGCCGUUCUCAUGCCUCGCCGUUGACUAG
rnacentral:misc_RNA from 1 species